rnacentral:rRNA from 1 species
AGUGAACGCUGGCGGUAGGCCUAACACAUGCAAGUCGAACGGCAGCACAGAGGAGCUUGCUCCUUGGGUGGCGAGUGGCGGACGGGUGAGGAAUACAUCGGAAUCUACUCUGUCGUGGGGGAUAACGUAGGGAAACUUACGCUAAUACCGCAUACGACCUACGGGUGAAAGCAGGGGAUCUUCGGACCUUGCGCGAUUGAAUGAGCCGAUGUCGGAUUAGCUAGUUGGCGGGGUAAAGGCCCACCAAGGCGACGAUCCGUAGCUGGUCUGAGAGGAUGAUCAGCCACACUGGAACUGAGACACGGUCCAGACUCCUACGGGAGGCAGCAGUGGGGAAUAUUGGACAAUGGGCGCAAGCCUGAUCCAGCCAUACCGCGUGGGUGAAGAAGGCCUUCGGGUUGUAAAGCCCUUUAGUUGGGAAAGAAAUCCAUCUGGUUAAUACCCGGGUGGGAUGACGGUACCCAAAGAAUAAGCACCGGCCAACUUCGUGCCAGCCGCCGCAGUAA